GAUAGCGAUACAUGCUGUCUGUAAACAGAAACGAAGAUCGACAAGUUUAAGCAAAAUAUAUAACCUUCAGUGGGGAAAAGUAAUUUUUCAAACUCAAUUCGACUUUAGAAAAGAGUGUUUAUUAGAACUAUAUUUUGUGAAGUCAUAUCCGGAUUGGGCGGAAGUGCAAACGACCCUGAUCAUUGACAAGACACAAAGUGAAAGAAGACUAAAAGCCAAUAUUGGUUGAAAUUUAAAAAAAAACCACACUUCCACUUGUAUAAUGUCAGCAUAAAAGGAAGUACACCUGGUCCAUCCAGAAAAAAACUAUUUCAUGACCAUGAUGACACUGAUGAUGAAAGUACAAAGACAGAUUUUAACCCAUAGCCACCAUUAAAAAGGAACAGAAGAAAGUGCAGUACCAUUAAAUUUGUAGGAAGAAGAAUUGCACAUGAACAGAUUUUGGAAGACGGGUGUAAAAAAUGGUUUAAAGGAU